UUUCAACAAACCCAUGAUAAUGAGACUGCCACAAAAUGUGACUUUGCAUUUUAAUAUAGCUAAUGAUCAUACAUUCUUUGAUGGCCACUAAUUGAGGCUGUGUCUUUCUAAAACUCCAGCUAAUCGCAUUAUUCUACUCGGCGUUACAUAAUGUCAUAAUCUGAGUAUUUGUGAGUGCAGAGUGUUGAAGGGAAGUGCCAAAGUGCUGUGGUGUGAGGACAGGACUGGAGUGGAGAUGCUACAUGAAUCACGUCAGAGAUCUUUUGUGUUAUUAUGAGAAAUGAAUCUGUGGUGAGACAAACUAGACUAUGACAGGCUGCCACAGUUGAGGAAUGAGGGGCUCUCCGCUGCGAGUGGUCAGACCUGGAGAAGAUGGGAAGCUACGUCUGGGAGGUGGAGGAGGAGGAGACUUGGAGGGUUUCUCUGUGC